UAGCAGUACACACAUCACCAACCUCAGCUGUCACCCA
rnacentral:piRNA from 1 species